AAAACUUACUAACCCCAAGCUUUUGAACAGUUUUGAUGUUUCAUGUGUAUAUUAGACUUACAUAAAUGGUAAAUUCUUUGAUUAAAACAUAAAUAUAAUUGUUUUGCACAGGAUGAGCUCAGGACUCAAGAGGAGAACAUUGAACAUUUCCAUCGCAGAUCAUCAGAGAUCCAGGAGCUUCUGCAGAGUCGCGAGUUCCCACUGGAGCUGCAGGUGAUUUACAGACACAUCAGCCACUUUUCACAAUGCUAAUUUAUUCAAUUAAUGCUAGAGAAUGUGUAAUGACAUUUGUAUGCAAAAAUGAUGUGAUAUGCUGUGUUCUGUAGUUAAACCUCAUGUAUUAGUUAGUAUGAACCAUACUAGCUCUUUAACAAAUCUUCAAAUUUCAGCAAAUUCACUAGUUAAUUUUUACAGGUGAUUGAGAGCCAGCUGAGAAAGAAGAUGGCAGAGGUGAAGGAGCUCUUUUCUGAGGCCAGUGAUGUUUUCAGACAGCUGGAAGCUGCCAAAGGGAAGGUGGCGUCUGAUAUUGCAGAUCACCUGUCCUCCAUUCAAACCAUCACAAAUGCACUGACCUCACUGACCACAUCUGAAAGCCCACAUGUCCUCAACACAAUCCAGGUGAAGGUUUAUGCUUUAAGACUAAGCUGUGAACACAAUCAAAUGUAAUGCAGCUGAGCAGCGAAGUUCAGUUUUGGCCAAUUUUGGUUACAUUUGCUCAAUGGCUCUGUCACAUACUGUACUUGAAUUUAAAUUCAUUUAAACCCUCAAUCAGUUUAGCUAAAAAUGUUUUUUGAUGAGCUAAUCCUACCAUUUUGACUGACAGGGGUUAUCGGAGAAGCUGCAAGCAGAGGCAGAGCAGGCUGAUGCAUUAUUUCAGCAGAUAAAUCUUCUGGCCAGCAUUGCAGGUCUAGAAAACCUGCAGGUGCUGGCUGAAGAUGGAGCUCAACUUCAAGAAAGCAUCUGUAUGGCUAGAGUGCUGGUCAUAGAGAAGAGAGAGCAAGCGAUGAACUCCAAGAUGGUCCAAGAUCCUAAGCACAUCAAGCCGUGGAUCAAAAAAACAGAAGAUACUGCGCCUGAGAUACAGUGUGAAUCUAAUGGUAAAACAGAGGAACAGUCACACAGAGGCCACACACAAGAUCCUCUUCUUGAGUUGAAAGACUUCAAAGAGCAGGCCUGCAGCUGGGCCACUGAACGGCAUCUGAAGGGAGAUUUUCAGGUUUCUGAGGAUGAGAACAGACAGAUCAUACUUGAAGAGAAACUCACAGCAGUGCAGGUUGCCGCUGACAGUGAAGUGGAUGACAUAGAGCAUAUGGAUGUAAAAUUCUUGCCAACAAAGGAAGUAAGUAAAACCGAAGAUAUAUCACUUUGUUCAGAACAACAAGCAACCAAAGAUGUUGAGAGCCUUUCAUCGGGCCAUGACACAAAUAAGCAGCAGUUCAUGUCUGGAUCUAAAGAGAGGGAUGAAACUGGAUCUGUACUACGAGAAGAUGACAGCAAAUUUACUCGUGGCUUAUCCUGUGAAUCACUAAAGCCUGUCUUUACCAUAGUGCUGGACUCUGAUCUUACCAAACCCAACCAGAUCCCACUGACACAACCUGUCCCAGCUUCUUCAACUAAAUGGGAUACUGUUUCAGUUGCUCAUGAUGGGACUGCAGAGACAUCAGAGGAUGGCUUGAAACUCUUGGAAGUCAAACCAAAUGUUGAUGUAGCUGUACAUGAAGAACAUGCUGUAAUAAGCUCUUCUGAUGAACCUGUACAUUUAUGUGCUGAUCUUUCAUCAUCAGAAGUGCAGUUUAAAGAAAACAGCCACACUGUUAAUAUUGAACCCACUUAUUCUCCUCUAGACCUUGAUUUCAGGCCUAAACCAGAGAAGGACUCAUCUACUCAAGCAUUUGACCCAAUGCUUUUAUACCCAGAGAAGCAUCAAGCAAGCUCUGGAACUGCUAAGAAAGUAUUUACCAUCAUCCUGGAUGUUGAAACUCCUACAUUAUCAUCAGACAGGUAUCAAUCACUGCAAGACACACAAUGUACAGGUCCUGACGACUCAACCACAGAUGAAUUCUCCCAUUCAGAUGUAAAAAGUCAACAGAAGAACCCAUUUGGUACUGAGAAACAUGAAGGCCGAAUGGCUGAACUAGGUCUUUCAGAAAAGUCCAAUGUGAAAUCAAGUAGCUCUGAAAUGCAGCCAGGACAGAAGGAAGCUCCGCUUAUCCAUCCCCAAACCCCUGAGAUCAUGGAGAAUGACAUUCAAAAAGAUGAAAAAGAGAAGCAACAUGAAGUCACUCAAGGCAGUGAGUCAGGGUCUGUUGUUCACCAGCAGGAUCUCCCAAUGUUGGAGAGUCAUGACAACAACACCUUUGAAGAGCCUUCAAAUGAAGCAAACGCAUUUCAGAGGCCUCCAAAAGUUGCUAAAGGUAGGAAGAAAAACCGAAAACCAGUUAGUGUAGAAAAAGCAAUCAAUAUCAGUAAUAAAAAGCUGAGCACCUGUAAAUGUGAACAAAAGAACACAGCUCACUCAGAAAGCCUUCAAACUUCUAAGGUCAGGCUGCCGGACACCACAGAUAUGGCCUGUGUCAGCACAAUGACUGUGUCUUCAGACUUCAGUCAACCAAACACUGCAGAGCCAUUGAGUACAGAAGACAAACUAACAGUGGACACUGUGCAGAAAGAGACCUUGAAUCAAACUGAAACAGAGGAUCGACAUUUUGAAAACAUUAGCAUCUCACUUGCCAGAGACGCCCAUAUUAGUACCACAGAUACGGUUUUAGCAGCAGUAGAGACUGUACAGUCAACACAUACAGAGUACUCAGAACUAACGCCAGAAGAUUCUUCAUCUGUUGUGACAGCUGACUGUAUAACACAGUUUUCUACCACAGUCCCAUCAGAGUUACAACUCAGCCAUGCUGAAGCUCAGAGGACUGAGGAUUCAGAUGACAGUUUCCCUUUGCAGGUAAGAUCCACAUAAUUGUUUUAUAUAAAUUCUUCAAAAAUAUAGGCCAAUCUAUUGCACGUCUCAUGUGAAGUCACUCAGAAAAACCGUGGUGGUCAUGUUCAGUACCUGAAUGAAAUGUUUUAUUUUUCAAGCACUUUUAAUGUGCCUUUUUGUUUUUCAAUACCUUUUGAAACUUACUUAACGAUUCAGGAGGACAUCAUUUGUAAUAUGGCAUAUGGGUAGUGAACUAACAGUGCUUUUGCUACAAGCAGAAAAUAAUUUCUUUUCAUGUUCAGUUGAUGCCUUUUCAUUUUACGUUUUACACCAUUCACAGUUCAUUCAAAGAAGCAAAUUGUAAAAGAAUAUCAGUGAAUGAAAAUCAUUGAAAGGAGUUUAAAAGCUCUAUAAUCUGCACUAAGACAAAUACAUUCAUUUUCUUGUUUGUAGUUGAUGUAGGAUGCUCAUGGUUUCAAAAAAUGAUCUAAAAGAACUUUCGUCAUCUGAAUGUGUCAUAAUUAUUCCAAGCUGUGCAAAAGACUGGCAUUGGCCAUUUUUAUUUGCACUCAAAGCAGUUAGUUCAACAUUUGUGAAUGUUGUUUCAUUGCACUUUUUGCCAUUGGAGUUUAACAGUCAUAUUAGCCCAAAAUAUUAUCUAUUCUAUUCUAUUCUAUUCUAUUCUAUUCUAUUCUAUUCUAUUCCCCAUAGGCAUCAUUGCUGUAUCAUUCCAUGUGUUGGCAUUCUAAUAGAUUUAACCCUGUAGCCUUAGCAUGGUUACCGUAUAUUGUAGCACUAAUCCAUUUGCUUUGAUAUCAGGUUAUGCAGUAUUGUUUCUGUGAGCAAAACUUCAUUAGGCUUCAUUAUACCAACUGCAUUCUUUUAGCAUUACUUCCUGCAGUACCACCUCCCGAGGUUGUUUUAAGCUUGAAUGCACACCACGCCUUCAGAGGGAAGACUCAAUUUCCAACUUGGCAGCAUUCCUUGCUCUUCUGACUCCGUGACUUAACGAGUCAAAACCAGUGCUGUUUCCCUUUUA
ensembl:lncRNA